AUGAAAGUGAAAAGUGAAAAUGAAGUCUCUCAGUCUUGUCCGACUCUUAGCGACCUCAUGGACUGCAGCCUACCAGGCUCCUCCAUCCACGGGAUUUUCCAGGCAAGAGUACUGGAGUGGGUUGCCAUUAUACUCAAAAUUCUCCAAGCCAGGCUUCAGCAAUACGUGAACCGUGAACUUCCAGCUGUUCAAGCUGGUUUUAGAAAAGGCAGAGGAACCAGAGAUCAAAUUGCCAACAUCCACUGGAUCAUCGAAAAAGCAAGAGAGUUCCAGAAAAACAUCUAUUUCUGCUUUAUGGACUGUGCCAAAGCCUUUGACUGUGUGGAUCACAAUAAACUGUGGAAAAUUCUGAAAGAGAUGGGAAUUCCAGAGCACCUGACCUGCCUCUUGAGAAACCUAUAUGCAGGUCAGGAAGCAACAGUUAGAACUGGUCAUGGAACAACAGACUGGUUCCAAAGAGGAAAAGGAGUACGUCAAGGCUGUAUAUUGUCAUCUUGCUUAUUUAACUUCUAUGCAGAGUACAUCAUGAGAAACGCUGGGCUGGAAGAAGCACACGCUGCAGUCAAGAUUGCUGGGAGAAAUAUCAAUAACCUCAGAUAUGCAGAUGACACCACCCUUAUGGCAGAAAGUGAAGAGGAACUAAAAAGCCUCUUGAUGAAAGUGAAAGAGGAGAGUGAAAAAGUUGGCUUAAAGCUCAACAUUCAGAAAACGAAGAUCAUGGCAUCUGGUCCCAUCACUUCAUGGCAAAUAGAUGGGGCAACAGUGGAAACAGUGUCAGACUUUAUUUUUGGGGGCUCCAAAAUCACCGCAGAUGGUGACUGCAGCCAUGAAAUUAAAAGAUGCUUACUCCUUGGAAGGAAAGUUAUGACCAAGCUAGACAGCAUAUUGAAAAGCAGAGACAUUACUUUGCCAACAAAGGUCCGCCUAGUCAAGGCUAUGGUUUUUCCUGUGGUCGUGUAUGGAUGUGAGAGUUGGACUGUGAAGAAAGCUGAGCACCGAAGAAUUGAUGCUUUUGAACUGUGGUGUUGGAGAAGACUCUUGAGAGUCCCUUGGACUGCAAGGAGAUCUAACCAGUCCAUCCUAAAGGAGAUCAGCCCUGGGUGUUCUUUGGAAGGACUGAUGCUAAAGCUGAUACUCCAAUACUUUGGCCACCUCAUGGGAUGA
rnacentral:lncRNA from 1 species